rnacentral:rRNA from 3 species
UGGACCUCAGAUCAGGCAAGAUUACCCGCUGAGUUUAAGCAUAUCACUAAGCGGAGGAAAAGAAAC